AGUAUUCGCGAUGAAGAUAGACAAGCUCCCUCUUCUGAUAAUUAUAGUUGAGGAAAUUUGCUGGCUGAAUCGAACCUUAAAUCUUAUUGCCAUCACUGAGUGA
rfam:Cicer arietinum chromosome Ca4, whole genome shotgun sequence.